rnacentral:rRNA from 1 species
GACGAACGCUGGCGGCGUGCCUAAUACAUGCAAGUCGAACGAACCGCGACUAGGUGCUUGCACUUGGUCAAGGUGAGUGGCGAACGGGUGAGUAACACGUGGGUAACCUACCUCAUAGUGGGGGAUAACAGUCGGAAACGACUGCUAAUACCGCAUAGGACAUAGGAUCACAUGAUCCAGUGAGGAAAGGUGGCGCAAGCUAUCGCUAAGAGGUGGACCCGCGGUGCAUUAGCUAGUUGGUAGGGUAAAGGCCUACCAAGGCGAUGAUGCAUAGCCGACCUGAGAGGGUGAUCGGCCACAUUGGGACUGAGACACGGCCCAAACUCCUACGGGAGGCAGCAGUAGGGAAUCUUCCGCAAUGGACGCAAGUCUGACGGAGCAACGCCGCGUGAGUGAAGAAGGUCUUCGGAUCGUAAAGCUCUGUUGUUAGAGAAGAACAGCGCAUAGAGUAACUGUUAUGCGUGUGACGGUAUCUAACCAGAAAGCCACGGCUAACUACGU